rnacentral:lncRNA from 1 species
UUGGUGGCUCGUUACAUGGUGGGGCAGGAUGUGAUGGUUCCUGUGGAGGUGUGUACCCAGCUGGUGGUGAUGGAGUUGGAUGCUCAUAUACUGGUGUUGGUGGUGGUGGUGAAGACGAUGUCACAUAUACUGGUGGUGGUGGAGAAUGAGGCGUGUAUGUUGGUGGCUCGUAAUGUACUGGUAGAGGUGGUGGUGGUGAUUGAGGUGUGUAAAUUGGUGGCUCGUAAUGUACUGGUGGCGGCGGCGGCGGCGAUUGAGGUGUGUAUGUUGGUGGCUCAUAAUGUACUGGUGGUGGAGGUGGUGGUGGUGAUUGAGGUUUGUAUGUUGGUGGGGCGUAAUGUACUGGUGGCGGUGGAGGUGAUGGUGAUGGGUGGUGAUAAUAUAUUGGACUUGGUGGAGGUGGAGCGUGACGAGUUACAGGUGAAAUUUUGUGGGUAGGAG